GGUUGUGGCUCAGUUGGUUGAGUGUUUGCCUUACAUGUGUGAGGCACUGGGUUCAAUCCUCAGCACCA
rnacentral:tRNA from 1 species